rnacentral:lncRNA from 1 species
GACGGACGGACUGAUGUGGACCUGACAGGACCAUAAAUAUCCAUGUAAAGGACAAUCAUUCAUGGAUAGCCUGUCUUUAAAACACUUCUAUACUUGGACAAUAAAUUUAUGAGUUCAGUGACACCAUUUUAAUGAUUUUUCUAUAUUAUUUGGUGCAAGUCUAUAUCUUCAAUCAAUAUAUUCAAAGAGGAAUUACCAUUUACAGUGAA